UCGUCAGCUCGUGCUGUGAAGUGUUAGGGUUAAGUCCCGGACAACCGAGCGCAACCCUGACCUGCCUGUUGCCACCACGAGAGGUGGGGACUCAGGCGGGACCGCCGGUGACAAACCGGAGGAAGGUGGGGACGACGUCAAGUCAUCAUGGCCCUUAUGUCCUGGGCUACACACGUGCUACAAUGGCCGGUACAGAGCGCAGCGAGGCCGCGAGGCGGAGCGAAUCGCUUAAAGCCGGUCCCAGUACGGAUUGGAGUCUGCAACCCGACUCCAUGAAGUUGGAAUCGCUAGUAAUCGCGCAUCAGCAUGGCGCGGUGAAUACGUUCCCGGGCCUU
rnacentral:rRNA from 1 species